rnacentral:rRNA from 1 species
CUACGGGUGGCUGCAGUGGGGAAUAUUGGACAAUGGGGGCAACCCUGAUCCAGCCAUGCCGCGUGUGUGAAGAAGGCCUUUUGGUUGUAAAGCACUUUAAGCAGGGAGGAGAGGCUAAUGGUUAAUACCCAUUAGAUUAGACGUUACCUGCAGAAUAAGCACCGGCUAACUCUGUGCCAGCAGCCGCGGUAAUACAGAGGGUGCGAGGCGUUAAUCGGAAUUACUGGGCGUAAAGCGAGUGUAGGUGGCUCAUUAAGUCACAUGUGAAAUCCCCGGGCUUAACCUGGGAACUGCAUGUGAUACUGGUGGUGCUAGAAUAUGUGAGAGGGAAGUAGAAUUCCAGGUGUAGCGGUGAAAUGCGUAGAGAUCUGGAGGAAUACCGAUGGCGAAGGCAGCUUCCUGGCAUAAUAUUGACACUGAGAUUCGAAAGCGUGGGUAGCAAACAGGAUUAGAUACCCGUGUAGUC